ACUCUUACCUGGCUCCAGUUACUUGAGGUCCGUGAGGGAGGUUAUUUUAUUGCAUUAGAGCAGAUGGACAGAGUGGCUGGGGACACAUCCAGACAAGAGCUGCCAUGUGGUAGAGGAGAAAAAGGUGGAAAUUUGGUAAUUGAGAAUAAGGUUGGGGAAGGCGGUACCUGCCUUGAGGGAACCACUUGGUCAGUGUGUCUUCCUUGCCCUGUCCUGGUGGAGUCAAGGUGCUGUAGUUGAAUGGCUGAUGCUCGCACUUGCACAGCAUCUUAUACAUUAACCGCACUGUUGUUCUGUUGCAGAUGUGAAAAAAGUGCCCUUCUGAAACUACACUAAUCGCAGCAUGCAGUAUGCAGAGUCUGACCUGGCCAGGAAUGUCAUCUAUGAAUGUCAUACAAGAUGGUGUCAAAAACUGUGUUGAAAUCCCUGUACAUAGCAUCUUCUCUGGGACAUGGGGAGGAUUCUUGGAGAAAACUGCUGAAUGCUCUGGGCCUGCAAGUCCAGAUCUCCUCCAUAAUGAAAGUCAUCAAGCCCAGCUAAUGCAAGAAUUAACUUCCUAAUCUGUUAUCUCCUUCCCUUGUGUCACUGAAGAUUUCUCACUUCUGCCACUGGAGGAAAUGGGGGUAGCUCCCUUUUGAGUAAAGGCUGUAGCAAAAAUAGCCUCAUGCCUCUUGACAGCAUUUCUGCCCCAUGAAGCGCUGGAGCACCCCUCACCAUCGCCCUCCAGUACGGGCAGCGUCUCCGGGAGCGGUCGCGGGUGUCUCGAGUUCCCUGAGGUUGUGGCUUGUUUGGGGCCCAGACCCUCCAACUUCGUGCUUAAUUUCCUCUGCUGUUCUCACCUGUCAAUCCCAAUAACUGGAAGUAUUUCUCCUUUCUUUUCACUUCUGUCCUAUGCUUGAUGUCAAUGCAAAGCUUCUAGUUUUGAAAAGUUGGUCUGUUACUAAAUUCCUCCUGCCGCUUUCAUCAUCAGAAGAGUUUUCAGUUGUUUAAGUCACCAUGAGUUCUCUCUCACAUCUGUGUAGAUUUCCCUUCCAUGGGCUCUUCCUCACCAAUUUUACCAGUUUAUGAAGCAGCUGGAUUUUUUCUUGUUUUUCUUCCCUUUUUGGCCAGAAUGAAAUCUAGAAAACCUCCAGCUCUAAGGGUUUUGUUUGUCUGUUUUACCUUUUGGAUAAGAGCUGUUCUGCCAAUGCAGUCAUAAAACUUGCCAAGCAAUCAGUGAUUUACAAGAUCCCUGUCAGGCAAUUCUGAGUAGCUAACAUUCCUUGCUGCCACCAAAUACUGUUUUUUUGGAUGAUAUCGUGAACGACUCGUUAAAAUGACUGGUCUGUUUUCUCUUCCUAGCUGAAUUUCUGUACGGCUCUGCUCUAAUGGAACCCAUUUUUCCUUCUUUAAAUCUUAUUCAAAGAUUAUUUCCUCUUGCAGUCUCAUACUCGGUGAGUGUACCUGUGCUUUUGAGAUCCUCCUUGUUUGCCCUUCCUGAACAAGCUAUACAGUUGGAAUUAAUAUUCUAGACAUAAGUUAUCCCAACAAGCCUGUUAUGCCAAUUAAAUCAGAAUUUUG
ensembl:lncRNA